rnacentral:rRNA from 1 species
CCAAUAGCGUAUAUUAAAGUUGUUGCAGUUAAAAGCUCGUAGUUGAACUUCAGGCCUGGCUGGAUGGUCCGCCUUCUGGGUGAGUACUGUCUGUGGUCGGGUCCUACCUUCUGGCGAAGCGUCAUGGCCUUAACCGGCCGUGGCGGGGAGCCAGGACUUUUACUGUGAAAAAAUUAGAGUGUUCAAAGCAGGCUCGCGCUUGAAUACAUUAGCAUGGAAUAAUGAAAUAGGACGUUUGAUCCUAUUUUGUUGGUUUCUAGGAUUGACGUAAUGAUUAAUAGGGAUAGUUGGGGGCAUUAGUAUUCAAUUGUCAGAGGUGAAAUUCUUGGAUUUAUUGAAGACUAACUACUGCGAAAGCAUUUGCCAAGGAUGUUUUCAUUAAUCAAGAACGAAAGUUAGGGGAUCGAAGACGAUCAGAUACCGUCGUAGUCUUAACCAUAAACUAUGCCGACUAGGGAUCGGAUGAUGUUAAUUUUUUAAUGACUCAUUCGGCGCCUUACG